rfam:Homo sapiens chromosome 19, GRCh38 reference primary assembly.
UGGAACAAGGUAGGUUACAGAAAUCUGGAAGCCAGAUCUGUAACUUCAGGGUAAGGACUGGCUCUCAGGGCUGAUCCCCCGGGCUGGGUGUCCCAGAGGCACCCGCCCCCGCCCCUUCCCCAAGGCAGGCCAGGACACCUUCACUCCUCUCCUUAGGCUCCCCACCCCCUUCUCCUCCCCACUGUGCCUCCUGGAGUAGCGGUGGCGGUGCCACAGGGGAGCGGGGCGGGGCGGGCUCUGAGGGCAAGGGGGAUGGGCCCCGCCGGGGUCACUGGCGGCCACCCUGGAAACUCGACGCAGGCCGGCCCUUCUAGUGAAUCGUCCCAGCCACAGCUGGCCUCCCAGCCGCGCUUGGGGCGCCUCGGGGCGCGAAUGGUGCAGGUUGGGGAGACUCACCACGCACCGUCGGGGGUCGGUCCGGUUAUUCCUCACCGCUCGGCUCCAGUGGGCGCGCGGGCCUCUCCUCCUCAGUUCCUGCGCUGCAGUCCCUCCCUCACCCUUCGCAGCUUGGGAAUCCGACUGUGUCAUUCCGACGGAGCGCCGUGAGGACCUCCGAGGGUGUUAGCGCCAAGUGAUCUCUGUCCAGCGCUCUGAAUAUCCAAGUAAAGGAGUUCAAUGAAGGGCGGGUCAACGGAGGAGAAACCGUGACUCUCUCAAGGGAGCCCAAGGCCUCCUUGUCUAAUUAGUGACGCGCCAAUGGAUGGAGGCUCUUCCCACCAUCUCUUCCCAGCAUCCAGUGACACCACCGCCAAGGGACGGGCUCGGCGGAACCUGCAGGAAAGAAGCAUCGGCUGAGCCUGACUGCAGCGCUGUGAAGAGACAGGGGAGGGGAUCAGUAGUUGGUCCCGCGCCCACCCCCUGUUUCCGCGAGGGGCGGAGUUGACUGGCCAUGCAGGCAGAGGGCGAAAUGUGAAAUUCCACUACUCCUACCGUUUUUCCCUGACCCGAUGGGGCGGAGUGUCGUCAGGCUAAGUUCCCUGGCGGUAAGGUGGGGAGAUUGAGGCGCACACCUGCCGAACGGUAACGCAGGAUUAGCUAAGGCGAGCUCAGGACAGAAGCCUCCCGAGGAGCAGGAGGGCAAAAUAAUAAAUAAAUAAAUAAAUAAAUAAAUAAAUAAAUAAUAAAUAACUCACUCCUUGGUCUUUAUUUGCGGCAGGAAUUCAGAAGGUGAAAGCGGGGCCUUAGGAUCUUUCUGACCUUUUGGGUUUUAAGCAGGAGGUGUCAGAAAUGUUACCACAGGGCUAGCUGGCUUGUGGCCAGCAAGCGUUCACAAUGCCCUCGAUUUUUCAUCCCUGUCUGUGGGUUCUUUUUUUCAUUGUAAGGCAGAAUUUCUACGAUUGCUCACCCACUCAGAGAACCUGAGCUGGUUUAGACCAGGUGAGACAGGCUAGGUUUACCCUGGUGAUGAUGUGUUGUUGCCAUGGCGAUCCUGCCCAGUACCAGAGGCCCUGCAGAUUCAGAUACUUGGUGCCUGUGCUUGGCUGAGGGGCCAAUGGGUGAAGCUGCCAUCUGCGGGAUGAUGACUGAAGCCUCUAAGUCAGAAUCCGCCCAGGCUGAGCCUUAGGGCAGCUCCAUGGAGCCUCGGCUGGCCUGGGAUAGAGAGUCCACCACUGUGCCAGCCCCCAGCCACUGCCUAGGUCCUGUGCUGAGAGCCCCUUGUCCAGGGAAAUGGCGUCCAGUGGAAAAGGGACCACCCCCUUGCCCUUCACUCAAGGCAGGUUGGUGACAACCCUGAAGCUAAUCCGUUCCUAGAGGAGCUGCUUCUGGGUCCGAGUUUUCUCUGCAGCAGAGCAGCUCCCUGGAUGGGAUCUGUUCAAAGUCCGCCUUUCACGCGGAAUU